UGGGAAUUAUUGAAACUCUCUAUUUUUUUUCCUUACAGAAACACAAUAAAAGUGCAAGCAGAUAAAGCUAAGACAACUGACUUGACUGUCACCAUCACUGGCAUCUUCCCUUUGUCUUUCCUCAACAGCAUGCCUUGGUAUAAAGGCCAGUUUAGUACCACAAGCAAUCCUGUUAUAACAAACUGCAAACCCAUUGUCAAAUCUCCUCCAGCCUCUCUAGAAGUAGUCAUCAUCAGUCUCAUAACCGCUGCGGCAAAGCAGAAGAGAUUGAGCAUGCCGAGUGUUCCGAGGAGGAGAAACAUGGGAGACUCCACUCCAAACUCCAUUACCUCUUUCUCGUAUCUCUCUGCUGCUUCUUCUUCAGCUACUUUCGCUGUGAUCACAAACGCAGACUCCGAAACCCCAAGUUUCUUCAGAAUUGUGUCCGU
rnacentral:lncRNA from 1 species